ACGCGUUAAACCUUACCAUCCUUUGACAUGGCGUGUUACCCAGAGAGAUUUGGGUGCCACUUCGGUGGCGCGCACACAGGUGCUGCAUGGCUGUCGUCAGCUCGUGUCGUGAGAUGUUGGGUUAAGUCCCGCAACGAGCGCAACCACGUCCUUAGUUGCCAUCAUUCAGUUGGGCACUCUAGGGAGACUGCCGGUGAUAAGCCGCGAGGAAGGUGUGGAUGACGUCAAGUCCUCAUGGCCCUUACGGAUG
rnacentral:rRNA from 1 species